rnacentral:rRNA from 1 species
AGAGUUUGAUCAUGGCUCAGAUUGAACGCUGGCGGCAUGCUUUACACAUGCAAGUCGAGCGGCAGCGCGGGGGCAACCCUGGCGGCGAGCGGCGAACGGGUGAGUAAUGCAUCGGAACGUACCCUGGAGUGGGGGGAUAACGCCGCGAAAGCGGCGCUAAUACCGCAUAUGCUCUGAGGAGGAAAGUGGGGGACCGCAAGGCCUCACGCUCUGGGAGCGGCCGAUGUCCGAUUAGCUAGUUGGUGGGGUAAAGGCUUACCAAGGCGACGAUCGGUAGCUGGUCUGAGAGGAUGAUCAGCCACACUGGGACUGAGACACGGCCCAGACUCCUACGGGAGGCAGCAGUGGGGAAUUUUGGACAAUGGGGGCAACCCUGAUCCAGCCAUGCCGCGUGAGUGAAGAAGGCCUUCGGGUUGUAAAGCUCUUUUGGUCGGGAAGAAAGUGCCCUGCUUAAUACGCGGGGUAUUUGACGGUACCGGCAGAAUAAGCACCGGCUGACUACGUG